GACCUGGUAGUGUAUGAUAACACACCUGUUGCACAUAAUUCUUUGCAAUGUAAUUCGGCAGGAGAACCCCGUUCGAUUCGGGGCCAGGUCA